AAAACAACAAAUACAUAGUAGGGUCAUUUCUGUCAUUCCGCUUUGGUUACACCGUUCUUCUUCCCCUUGCUUCCGCUGUGCAUCCGCACUUAGACAAGGAGUCCAGCUGCGCCUGCGCAUCAUCUAGGCUUUAUAUUAAUCUUCCACAGUUCCACUUCCAUUUCCAUCAGUAUCCAAAUGACCAAAAUACCCUUGCAUUUUUGUACAGACCAAGCAGCAGACACGGCUGAAUCCCUUUUAGUUACAUUACAGGCAAAGGCAAAGUAAACGCAGACUGGCCAAGAAAAAGUUAAAGAAAAAGAGAUUACUUUUCAAAAUAUUUAUUUUUUUAAUUAUUUUCUACUUUCCUUUGAACACGUCUCUGUAACGCAAGAGAGAGUCCAGUCUCUGCAACUUCAAUUGCUGCUUAAACCUGUUGAUGAAGUCAUCGGCUUUCGCGUCAACCCCUUCGUCUCCAAACGACACCGUCUUUUCUAUCCUCAUCGUUGCUGGCCUCCUCCGCUCCACGCUCUCCCUGUCUUCCUCUACAGCCACCUCUCUUUCGCUCGCUGAUUUCUUCAUCUUCUCUGGUGCUUUCCUCUCUGCCGCUACCCUGGGCUCUGAUUUACUUCUCUUUACCUGAUGCUCCAAUUCCGUAACGGAUGCAUGGCCCGUAUCCUCAUACGAAUCCGAUUCAGGUUCAGCCACAAAUUCAGAUUCUGGUUCGGAUCUGUAGAAAGAGGACAACUUGAUGGACUUUAAACGUUCUAAGAGUGAAGAGGCUCGUUCGAGUUGAACCGGAUGAACCCCGGGUGUGUACUCUGGUUCGGUGUCG
rnacentral:misc_RNA from 1 species